GAUGAGCGCUAGCGGCAGGCUUAACACAUGCAAGUCGAGGGGUAGGAGAAGCUUGCUUUUCUGAGACCGGCGCACGGGUGCGUAACGCGUAUGCAAUCUACCUUUCACAGAGGGAUAGCCCAGAGAAAUUUGGAUUAAUACCUCAUAGUAAUACGACUUGGCAUCAAGAUGUAUUUAAAGAUUUAUCGGUGAAAGAUGAGCAUGCGUCCCAUUAGCUAGUUGGUAUGGUAACGGCAUACCAAGGCAACGAUGGGUAGGGGUCCUGAGAGGGAGAUCCCCCACACUGGUACUGAGACACGGACCAGACUCCUACGGGAGGCAGCAGUGAGGAAUAUUGGACAAUGGGCGCAAGCCUGAUCCAGCCAUGCCGCGUGCAGGAUGACGGUCCUAUGGAUUGUAAACUGCUUUUAUACAGGAAGAAACACCUCUACGUGUAGAGACUUGACGGUACUGUAAGAAUAAGGAUCGGCUAACUCCGUGCCAGCAGCCGCGGUAAUACGGAGGAUCCAAGCGUUAUCCGGAAUCAUUGGGUUUAAAGGGUCCGUAGGCGGUCAGGUAAGUCAGUGGUGAAAGCCCAUCGCUCAACGGUGGAACGGCCAUUGAUACUGUCUGACUUGAAUUAUUAGGAAGUAACUAGAAUAUGUAGUGUAGCGGUGAAAUGCUUAGAGAUUACAUGGAAUACCAAUUGCGAAGGCAGGUUACUACUAAUUGAUUGACGCUGAUGGACGAAAGCGUGGGUAGCGAACAGGAUUAGAUACCCUGGUAGUCCACGCCGUAAACGAUGGAUACUAGCUGUUGGGAGCAAUCUCAGUGGCUAAGCGAAAGUGAUAAGUAUCCCACCUGGGGAGUACGAACGCAAGUUUGAAACUCAAAGGAAUUGACGGGGGCCCGCACAAGCGGUGGAGCAUGUGGUUUAAUUCGAUGAUACGCGAGGAACCUUACCAAGGCUUAAAUGUAGAUUGACCGGUUGGAAACAG
rnacentral:rRNA from 1 species